UACGUAGGGAGCGAGCGUUGUCCGGAAUUACUGGGUGUAAAGGGAGCGUAGGCGGGACGGCAAGUCAGAUGUGAAAACCACGGGCUCAACCUGUGGCCUGCAUUUGAAACUGUAGUUCUUGAGUACUGGAGAGGCAGACGGAAUUCCUAGUGUAGCGGUGAAAUGCGUAGAUAUUAGGAGGAACACCAGUGGCGAAGGCGGUCUGCUGGACAGCAGCUGACGCUGAGGCGCGAAAGCGUGGGGAGCAAACAGG
rnacentral:rRNA from 1 species